AGUGAACGCUGGCGGUAGGCCUAACACAUGCAAGUCGAACGGCAGCACAGUAAGAGCUUGCUCUUACGGGUGGCGAGUGGCGGACGUGUGAGGAAUACAUCGUAAUCUACUUUUUCGUGGGGGAUAACGUAGGGAAACUUACGCUAAUACCGCAUACGACCUACGGGUGAAAGCAGGGGAUCUUCUGACCUUGCGCGAUUGGAUGAGCCGAUGUCGGAUUAGCUAGUUGGCGGGGUAAAGGCCCACCAAGGCGACGAUCCGUAGCUGGUCUGAGAGGCUGGUCGGCCGCACUGGAACUGAGACACGGUCCUGACUCCUACGGGAGGCAGCAGUGGGGAAUAUUGGACAAUGGGCGCAAGCCUGAUCCAGCCAGACCGCGUGGGUGAAGAAGGCCUUCGGGUUGUAAAGCCCUUUUGUUGGGAAAGAACAGCAGCAGGUUAAUACCACGCUGUUGUGACGGUACCCAAAGAAUAAGCACCGGCUAACUUCGUG
rnacentral:rRNA from 1 species